UACAGAGGGGGCAAGCGUUAUUCGGAAUUAUUGGGCGUAAAGGGCGCGUAGGCGGCUUUGCAAGUGACGGGUGAAAUCCCUCGGCUUAACCGAGGAACUGCCUGUCAGACUGCAUGGCUUGAGACCGGGAGAGGUGAGUGGAAUUCCCAGUGUAGCGGUGAAAUGCGUAGAUAUUGGGAGGAACACCAGUGGCGAAGGCGGCUCACUGGACCGGUACUGACGCUGAGGCGCGAAAGCGUGGGGAGCAAACAAG
rnacentral:rRNA from 1 species